UUGGAAUUGGGGUUGUAUUAUUAACGCCACAUUUCACUACACGCUUGUCUAAUAUGGCUUCAGAUCGAAAGGAAGUGAGCCGUGCUUUCCAUCAAAUGAAAGCACAGUCUGUUCUUCCCUUGUGGUUGUGGCAUUGACCAAACAACAGGUCACAACCAUAGCUGAUUGUUUCACUUGGCCACUAUGCCAGUCUAUUAGAGAAUAUAAGCAGAACUUUAAAACUACCUAGUUAAUUUGAUUUUAAAUGAGAAGCAUCAAGCCAAGUCACUGCUUUUAGGUCACAAAGUCCAGCCCAAAUGGGGGCAUGUUUUUCCUACAGAAGCGGCACUUAGUUCACAAACUUCACAGCAAAAGCUUCCUACACUGUUUGUGAAAGUGUCUUGCAUCAACAUGUUGUGUUGCAGCAGAGGCGGAAAGAUGAGAAACACCGCUAAUAUAUCCCGCAGUAUUCACAGUCACAUCUAUGGUCAGGUGUUGUGGUGGUGAUUGGCUGCUCUGCUAAAUUGGUUGCUUGUUGCUCCGCCCAGUUGUUAUGUUCUUAUGUUGUUUGUUUAGUAGCAGGAUUCUUAGGGGUGACCUGCCUUUUUUUUUGUUGGGACUUUUGCCUCUGUUUUUUGGAAAAGAGUAGGCAGGGUAGUUUCCUUGUAAUUUAUUUUCUUUUGGUUUGGUUUCAGGGUAAGUUAAACAUCUCUUUCUUUUAGGUGAUUUGUUUGUUGUUUUGGCCUGGGGUCAUCCGGAAGCUUUUAAAAUCCUGCUAUUUUUGGUUAUUUGUUUCAGAAAUCGGUGAAUCUCGAGAACUGUUCAGAAUAAUAAAACAAUCUGCUCUA